ACGAACGCUGGGCGGCGUGCUUAACACAUGCAAGUCGAACGGAAAGGCCCCUUCGGGGGUACUCGAGUGGCGAACGGGUGAGUAACACGUGGGUGAUCUGCCCUGCACUUUGGGAUAAGCCUGGGAAACUGGGUCUAAUACCGAAUAGGACCGCAUGCUGCAUGGUGUGUGGUGGAAAGCUUUUGCGGUGUGGGAUGGGCCCGCGGCCUAUCAGCUUGUUGGUGGGGUAAUGGCCUACCAAGGCGACGACGGGUAGCCGGCCUGAGAGGGUGUCCGGCCACACUGGGACUGAGAUACGGCCCAGACUCCUACGGGAGGCAGCAGUGGGGAAUAUUGCACAAUGGGCGCAAGCCUGAUGCAGCGACGCCGCGUGGGGGAUGACGGCCUUCGGGUUGUAAACCUCUUUCAGUAUCGGCGAAGCUCCAAGGUUUUCUUUGGGGUGACGGUAGGUACAGAAGAAGCACCGGCCAACUACG
rnacentral:rRNA from 1 species